GAGUCUUCCGGUCAGUGACUCACCUGUCGGGAUUAUGGUGCUGGCUGUUUUACAAAUGGAGGCUGUAAUCAUACUAACAAUGGCAAUCGGAAAGGCGUCCCAACACUCUGGAUCAUGAGCAAGCUUGUGAUGGAUGACGGCGUCCCGAGCCAGAGAGCCAAUGGCCGACAGCAGCGGUGGAAGGAUCUGACGAUUGUUCUUGUUGAUACUUCUCUGUAAAAUCGGAAAGAGACUCCCUCCAUCCCUCUGCAGACCCUCGGCCCAGUCCAGCAGCAUCUCCAGCCUGGUCUGUAACUGGAGAUGGCCUUGCAGGCUCCGCCCCCAGGCCUGCUGGAGCUCCUUGGCCGCGGUGAGGAGAUGAUCUUGUCG